CGAAUCUGAAACAACUUUUUUCAAUUUUGUCAAUUUACCAAAGCGUGAAAAGAUCCCUUUAAGCUGAUGUUCACAGAGAUGCCCAUGUUAAGAAGUCAAUAUGAGUUGGUCUGCCAGUAGAUGUGGACGUCAAAACUGAUGCGAAGUCCUCCUCAACUCACUUCAAUAGAUCACAGAAGAGUCAAACAAUAGUCCUUGCUCUAGGAAAACCUGGCUUAAUGCAUGUUAGGGAAGUGUCAUCCCAGUUAAGCCUGCGCAGUUCACACAUGUGAAUCAGGUUCUAUACAUUCCGCUUUUAUUUUGGCCUUAACAAAGAUCCAGUUUAGGCAGAAAGUGUUUAUCCUGUUCAGCAUAUCAGGACUGCACAGGCUAUUCUGAUACUGUACUUGUCACUCAUGCAUAGAGAUCCAUUUUCCCAGAGCAACACUGAAACAUGAUUGGUGCAGUCCUGCUUCAACUCCAUAAUGUAACUGUAGGUAUCUGCCAACACUUGAAAUUCAUAGGUAAUUACUCAUUGUAACACUUUCAAAUGUAAAGUCAAUCUGAAAUAAAAAGUUGGCAUGUUUGAAAAUAGUAUUUUAAAAAAGUGAAUUAAUAAGCACAUUAUAGUUAUCUGUAAUAUCAGUAAGACAUUGCUGUAUUGUGUUGUUUACAUUUUCAAUUAGGACGUAGGCUUUGUUAAAUUAAGUUUGUCAUAUAUGGAAUAUAUAUGUUUGCAAUUAUAUGUAAAUGGUUAAACUAAACUGUUAAUGUAUUUUAACACAUAUAAAUUAACAAUUUUAAUGUCAUACAAAAAUCAAGCUGCUAUUAUCACAGUAUUCCCAAUGUUGAAUUUAGGUCUCUCAGUAUGCCAAGUUAUCACAAUUGUUACAACGAAAUUGCCAUUUUUUCAUUUUAUGUAUUUUAUUUAUUAUUGACAAUUUAUUUCUUUUGUUUAAGUAGGGAAUGGCUUGACAGUGCAGCGAUAACAAAAAUCAGAAUAUUAUGACAAUUUUUUUCUUCUAUUCUUUACAUAGGCUUAUGUAGAAGAAAAUGAAAAAAUGCUUUUUUUGCUAAAAUUUCAGAUAUCAAAUAGAAGUUCUUUAUGUUCAACUCUUGAGAUAUAAAGUGUCACAUAUUUUUCUUAAAUUAUGGUUUUUGGUGGGGGAAAAUAGGUUCAUUAAAGAUAGGGCACUUGGUGCAAGGAAUCGUUUUAAAAGUUUGUUCUCAUUCUUGGCAUUACAUGUAUAUUUACCUGUGAUAAGCUAUGCAUAUGGGAACAAGUGUUUGAAUAUGCUCAGCAUUAGCUUUAGGUGGUUUUGAUCAUGAAACAAUGCUGAUGCUUGGCUUUAAGCUUUAAUUGGGGGUGUGACUGGUUUAAGCAUAUAUUGUUUUUGUUUUGAAUUGUUCUUGUUUUAUUGUUGGUCAGAUUUUUACAUUUGUACACAUGUAUUACAUUUAUUGUUUAUAUUAUUAUUAUUGUUUGACACUUCAAUGCAACUGCACACUUCUUGACAUUGCCUGAAAUUUUUAAGAAAUUCUGGCUCCAAAUCAUAGACUUUUAUUACAUCUGCACAUUCUCUGAUUGUAUCCUUUUAAACUCUGCAUAUCAUUUUCUAGUCAUAUGAAAGUUGUUUUUUGUUAAUAAGAAACAUUUUAAGUCUCCCUGAUGCCAUAUAUAAAGUUGUUGAUUAUUUUCUUGUUAAUAUCUUAAAAAACCUUAAACACCAGUUGUUUUGCUUUAUCAUUGUUCUGUUUUCAUAACAUACUGUGGGACUUUCAGAUACAUGUAGUUAUACAAAUCAGAUUGUUUUUGUAUACAUGAAUCAUAUUUACCUAUUUCUCUGAAGCAGCAGCUUAAGGCCAGCCAUUCACAAGCUGCAGUAGACGUGUUAGAUGCCUUGCAAUCUUGGCAUGAUCCUGUGGUUCCCUCUGCAAACGUGCCCAUAAAUUUUCUCAAAUUUAAUAUUGAUUUCACACGAAACUCGCUGAAAAAUGUGUCGCAAUAAGUUGUUCCCUUGCCACACAAUCAAUAAAAAACGAAAGUAAAUAUGAAUAUAGCAUUCAUCUGUGAGACCCAUGCUUGUUGUAAGUACAUGUAUAUUCUCUUUAUUAUGUUCUGCACAAUUGUUUGUCACAUUAAUCAUAUUCUCUUCUGCAUAAUAUAUAUGUUAUCGCCUUAAUGUAUUGAUUUGGUUUGUUUUAUGUUGAUUUAUUGUAGAGUCACACAUGUACAAAUAUGUACAGUGAGAAGAAUUAUGUCAAACUUAUAACUUAAAAUACAUGUAUUAAUACUAAAUAUGAAUAAAUUAUUUUCAGAUAAUCUUAUCAGUCAUAAUGAACAUUUUAUAUUUCAUAGCACUCGUUACGUUUUGUAAUUCUUCAGACUUGUUUUUGUGACCAGAAAAAAAAUGACAGCAGUUUAUUGUUAUGGAAUGUUAACUUUGUUUAAAUAAUAAUCCCUGUAAAUUAGAUAUUGCUUGAAAGCAGAAAGUGUUGUCUCAGAUCAACGUGUGCAAGCUGCUGAGGCUAAUCAGGGGCAAUAUUAAACGCGCAUGCAAUAAGACCAGCUCUACCAUAGCUUAGCUCAUUGACUACAUUCUAGUCGGAUGUUGAAUGCAAUGAAGUAUUGCCAAGGCUGGUGGGAUGCUCUGUAAACUUGUUUAAAUUGAUUAUUUGUUUCCACCUAGUAAGGUUUUAGUUUUCUUAUAUAUUCCCGGUAGGGGGGUCUAAUAGCAGUCAGACUGUCUGGCUUUCUAGCAUUCGGUUUUCUAUGCCAUGCUCUCAGAUAUUAAGCUGAUUUUAGCUCGGCUGUUUUCGGAAAACCCAAGGUAUUGUCAUAGCCUGCUCGUUGUCCGCCGUCCGCCGGCAGUCAUGCUAAAACCUUUACAUUGGCUCUAAAAUCAAAGUGCUUCCACCUACAACUUUUAAACUUCAUAUGUAUAUGCACCUUGAUGAGUUCUACACGCCAUACCCAUUUUUGGGUCACUAGGUCAAAGGUCAAGGUCACUGUGACCUCUAAUAUAAAACUUUAACUCUGCCUCUAACAUCAUAGUGCUUCCACCUACAACUUCGAAACUUCAUAUGUACAUGCACCUUGAUGAGUUCUACAUGCCACACCCAAUUUUGGGUCACUAGGUCAAAGGUCAAGGUCACUGUGACCUCUAAUAUAAAACUUUAACUUUGCCUCUAACAUCAUAGUGCUUCCACCUACAACUUUGAAACUUCAUAUAUACAUGCACCUUGAUGAGUUCUACACGCCACACACAAUUUUGGGUCACUAGGUAAAAGGUCAAGGUCACUGUGACCUCUAAUUUAAAACUUUAACUUUGCCUCUAACAUCACAGUGCUUCCACCUGCAACUUUGAAACUUCAUAUGUAGAUGCACCUUGAUGAGUUCUACAUGCCACACCCAUUUUGGGUCACUAGGUCAAAAGUCAAGGUCACUGUGACCUCUAAAAAAAAUAAAACUAGUGACCUGAAAAUCAAUAGGGGUCAUCUGCGAGUCAAUGUACCUAUGAAGUGUCAUGAUCCUAGGCAAAACCGUUCUUGAGUUUUCAUCCGAAAAUCAUUUUACUAUUUCGGGUCACCGUGACCUUGACCUUUGACCUAGUGACCUCAAAAUCAAUAGGGGUCAUCUGCAAGUCAUGAUCAAUCUACCUAUGAAGUUUUAUGAUCCAAGGCGUAUGCGUUCUUGAGUUAUCAUCCGGAAACCAUUUUACUAUUUUGGGUCACCGUGACCUUGACCUAGUGACCUCAAAAUCAAUAGGGGUCAUCUGAAAGUCAUGAUCAAUCUACCCAUGAAGUUUCAUGAUCCUAGGCGUAUGCGUUCUUGAGUUAUCAUUCAAAAACCAUUUUACUAUUUCUGGUCACCGUGACCUUGACCUUUGACCUAGUGACCUCAAAAUCAAUAGGGGUCAUCUGCAAGUCAUGAUCAAUGUACCUAUGAAGUUUCAUGAUCCUAGGCCCAAGCGUUCUUGAGUUAUCGUCUUGACAACCACCUGGUGGACGGACCGACCGACAGACCGACCGACAGACCGACAUGAGCAAAGCAAUAUACCCCCUCUUCUUCGAAGGGGGGCAUAAAAAUCUGACAAGCUUUCACAGCCGAGCAUGGCACCCGUUAUUCGGUGCUCUUGUUUUUAUUUGAGCCAUAAUUAGUAACCUGCAUGACCUACAGAUAGUGUGAAUUUCAUUCCCAUAUAUUGCUUUUUGGCCAAGUUAUGGGUCUUGGACUAAGAAAUUUUCUUUAUAAUAACAGUUUUGAAAAGUUUUUUUACUCAAAGCUUUCAAAUAUUGAGCUGAUUUUUGGUAUGUGAUUCAACCUACAUGACUAACAGAUGAAGGGUGAGUUUUGUUUUGGUUUAUUGCUUUUUGGCAAAGUUAUGGGCCUUGGACUUAAUAAUCUUCUCUAAAAUUGCUGCUGUGUAGCUUCAAAUCGCAUAUCUUACUUAAUUUUGGAAGUCACCUGUUUAAAAGUUGAAAUAUUUUUUUUGCAAAUUUUAUGUAGAAGCAUUUGCAUGUGAUUAAGCUAUAUUUUUAUAGAUCAAUUCAGUGUUGUUUACAUUUCUGUCUAAAAGAAAUAUAUAUCAUGUGGACAGAAAGCAUUGUGAUCUGAAAUGGCAAUACAUUGUAGAAAAUGUCAUGCCUAUCUAUAUUUUGUAAUGUUUUGUUUUUAUAACCCAUUAUGUUCUCUCCUAGUAUAUCAUCAUUGUUACAAAUAAUCAUAUUAUGUUGUUAAAUGUCGUUUUAAAACAAUAUUGGUGCAGAAUUUGAGUGCCAUUUAUGCCAACUGAAUUUAUUUUAACAUGACAAUUUAUCAAAUGUCAACAUAUCAAGUAAUAAAAAGGCCAGACUGAAAAACUGGGUAGCAGGAGGCUUGCAGAACAUCAAAUGUUAAUGUAAGAUUAUGCUAUUGGUUGGUAACUGAUUAAUAACGCAAGGUUUUGGAGAAACUGGGCUUAAUGCGUGUGCGUAAAGUUUUGUCCCAGAUUAGCCUCUUGGAAUACACAAAGUGGAUAAACUUUUAGAAGAGAUUUACUUUAAACAAAAAAAUCCAUAUAAGAAGAAAGUGUCAUCGCUGAUUAGCCUGUGCAGACUGCACAGUCUUAUCUGCGACAAAAAAUUACACUUAAGAAUUAAACCCAGUUUUCCCAGAUCUCUGCUCAAUUUCACAUUUUUGCUAGGAUAAAGGAUGAUAUAGGUCAAAAAAUAUUUUUUUAAGAUAGAUGCAGAAUAAGGCUAAGUUCAAUAUAUUGUUCAAUGAGCAGUAUGAUGGUUUGUUUUAACAGUAUUAAACUUGUACAUAUUGAUUCAUAGAGAUUUAAAUGUGAAAAAAGGUAAAUGAAAAGGUACAUGAGAGGAACUGUACAUAUAAUGCAUUCAACAUGAACCUACAACAUUUUCUUCAGAAGAGGAACUUGUAUUUUUAGUUUAAAUGUAUUGCUAGUUCAUAAAUUACUGUCAUUAAGGAUGAGUUUUUAGCUCACCUGAGCACAACGUGCUCAUGGUAUGCUUUUGGGAUCGCCUUUUGUCCGUCGUGCGUGCGUGCGUCGUUCGUCGUCAACAUUUUUCCUUGUGAACACUCUAGAGGCCACAUUUCUUGUCUGAUCUUCAUGAAACUAGGUCAGAACAUUUGUCCCAAUGAUACCUCGACUGAGUUCGAAACUGGGUCAUUCUGGGUGAAAAACAAGGUCACUAGGUCAAAAAACAGAAAAACCUUUUGAACACUUUAAAAGUCACAUUUGAUGCCCAAUCUUCAUGUUACUUUGUCAAAAAGUUUGCCUAAAAGAAAUGUUGGUUGAGUUCAAAAAUGGUUCCGGUCAGUUGAAAAACAUGGCCACCAGGGGGCGGGCAGUAUUCCUUAUAUGGCUAUAGAGUAACCUUGUGAAUACUCUAGGAGUCACAACUUUGCCCAAUUAUCAUGAAACUUGGUGAAAACAUUGGUUUCAUUGAUAUCUUGGACGAGUUCGAAAAUGGUCCAGAUUGGUGAAAAAACAUGGCCGCCAGGGGGCAGGGCAGUUUUCUCUAUAUAGUGAAAAUAAGUGAACACUCUAGAAGUCACAUAUUUGUUCCAAUCUUCAUGAAAUUUGGUCAGAACAUUUGUUUCCUGGAUACAACGGUUGAGUUGGAAAAUGUUUCGGAUCGGUAAAAAAACAUGGCCACCAUGGGGGGGGGGGUCUUUUUCCUUAUAUUUAUAUAGUAAAAAAGCUUGUGAACACUCUAGAAGUCACAUUUUUGCCUAAUCAUCAUGAAAUUUGGUCAAAACAUUGGUUAUGUGGAUAUUUCGGACGAGUUUGAAAUAGUCGUGAACAUUUGAAAAACAUGGCCGCCAGGGGGUGGGGCAGUUUUCUCUAUAUGUAUAUAGUGAAAACAUGUGAACAGUCUAUAAGACACAUUUUUUGCCUAAUCUUUAUGAAAUUUGGUCAGCACAAAUGAUUCCUUGAUACAACGGUUGAGUUAAAAAAUGGUUCGGAUCGGUAAAAAAACAUGGCCGCCAGGGUCUUUUUCCUUAUAUUUAUAUAGUAAAAAAAAGCUUGUGAAUACUCUAGAAGUCACAUUUUUUGUCCAAUCAUCAUGAAACUUGGUCAAAACAUUGGUUUUAUGGAUAUCUUGUUAUGAUAUCUAGGCCGAGUUCUUUAUGGUUGUGGUCUGUUGAAAAACAUGGCUUUAAUCGGCUUAAUAGUGUAACCUUGUUUACACUUUACUAAGAAAUUACCAAUGUAAACGUUGAAUGAAAUUUAUGCAUAUUAUGAUAUUCAUGAUCUCCAUGCAGACAUCAUAUUAAUUCUGCCGCUAAGAUAUACAGUAAAAUUGCCAAAUUUUUUAUUAUUUAUUUUUGUUUCUUUCUGAACAGGAUUAUUAUGUUGAUGAUUGGUUGGGGAUGAAGUGCAACAAACAUAUUUUUGCCAUCUGCAAACCUUUAUAAAAUAUUCUCAAAAUUUUAAGAAGUAAUAUUGAUUUAAUAGAAAAUUACUCAUGGGAGAAACAACUGUAUAUAAUUUGAAUUGUGUUUGACCUCCAAUCAUAAAUGUAUGACUUGUCAGGAAUGCACUCUUAUUUCUCCCAUGAUCCCAUUCAUCCACCUGCUUAUCAGCAACUAAUUAAUUCUCUAUUGCCUGUGCCUGAAUUGUUAAUGUGAUGUAACAGGCUUGCAGCUUAAAAGACCUUAGUCCCUAGAAAUAGGCCCCAGCUCACAUCAAAGACCUUCAGACUGAUAAGAGUGGAACACAACUUGUUAUGGCACACAGUUUAUGGAUGUCAGGUUGGUAGUUUUGUUGUGAUUAUCAAAGAUUUGUGUUUUAAAAAGGGUUGAUUGUUCUUUUAAUUGGAAAUAUCAUUGUAAGGUGAGUCUGAAAAUAGUUCCAGUUUGUUUAAAAGCAAGGCCCUGAGGUGGGUGGCAGAUUUCUUUUUAUUGCUAUAGUGAAACAUUGUGAAAUCUCUAUAAGUCACAUUUUAGUUAAAUCUUAAUGAAACAUGCUUAGAGCAAAUGUUCCUUUAAUAUCUUGAUUUACUUUGAAAAUGGCUCCGGUGCUCUGAAGAGCAUUGUUUCCAGAGGCAAGCGAAUUUCUUCUUUUGAACUUUAUGAUAAUAUUUAUGUUUGAUGAAGUACUUUAAUUAUUUUGAACUCCACCUUCCCAGAAUAGUUUAGUUCCUUUGGGCCUCAGGUGAGCGCCUUAGGGCCCAUGGCCCUCUUGUUUUAUGAAACUUCUAUCACAUGUUAUCCGUUUUACUAAUUUGAUACAGAUAUUAUAUAAUUACUAUGAGCUUUUUUAUUAAUCUGUUAAAGUCCCUUUACAGUAAGAAUUUAAUAUAUUAUUUUAGUCAUAUUCAUGCAUAUCUGUUAUAGGCUAACACGUUUUUGUUGAAUGACCAGCAGUUGUCAUUGUUUAAGAUUUUGUCAGAAAUGUGUGUGUGAAGAAUUUCAAGAUUUCAAGAUAUUAUAAUUAUAUAUUAUUUCCAGAAGGCCAAUUGCCCAUGUUGACACUUUUAAGUACAUGCAAGUGAUGACAAUAGUAAUAGUACUAUAAACUUAUUUCUGAAGAGUACUUAAUUUAUGAGUAAGCAAGGUUGUUGAACAUUAUACAUACAACAUACAAAAAUAAUAUCAUUAACUCUCUCCGUGCGGGAACCAAAUUUUGAAGGUCUUUGCAAACAGUUUGGAUCCAGAUGAGACGCCACAGAACGUGGCAUCUCAUCAGGAUCCAAACUGUUUGCUAUUCUGAUAGUAUUCUUUGAAAAAAAUCGAAGAAAAUGCUAAUUUUAGAAAUUCUGCAGACGACAUUUUAGCAGACGACAAAUUUCCCAGCAUGCAAAGGGUUAAUCAUUAUCUGCAGUUAAUAAUACAUGUAAUUGAUCGUCACACAAAAUCAUAGUGAGACUUUAACAUGAACUACCGGUAAAUCCAUGUUUGUGCUAGUAAUUUUAUUGCGGUUUUAAACCAAUAAUUUAAAUUUGAGUGCCAACACUUGUUUGUUUGCUCAAGAGCUUUUUGUUGGCGUAUGUAUGUGCUGGUAGUUUUUACAAAGUUAUCUGUUUAACAGAACCAUAAUUAUAUUCUUAGUUAGAAUUUCUAACGCGGUAAGCUAAAUAUGUACUUUCAGAAGUGUAUUUUAACAGCUUACAUUUUAAAGGGAUCUUUUCACGUUUUGGUAAAUUGACAAAAUUGAUAAAAGUUGUUUAAGAUUCGCAAAUUUUCGUUUGCGUUAUGAUAUUUGUAAGGAAACAGUAAUACUGAACAUUUACCAUGGUCUAAUAUAGCCAUUAUAUGCAUCUUUUGACGAUUUAAAAACCUGAAAAUUAUAAAGCGUUGCAACGCGAAACGAUUGAAUAAUUGGAGAGUUCUGUUGUUGUCGUUUAAUUUUGUGAAACUACGAAGAUUGCUUAUAUAAAGUAUAAAAUACGUCUUUAAUACAUACUUGGCAGGAUGGUCGAGCGGUCUAAUUGGUUUUUACUCCAGGACUCCGGGGGUCACUGGUUCGAGCCCUGCUGCGGGCUACUUUUUUUUCCUUUUUUAAUUUUAUUUUUGAUGUUUUACUGGAGCUUUUUAGAUCCAAUGUUUACAUUUAUCAAUAUAAUGCAUUUAAUGAGAAACUUCAAAACAUGCCAAAAUCUGUGAAAUGGCCCCUUUAAGCCAGAAAUAAAACAUAAUUUUGUUUAGUGAUAACAAUUUGUAUUAUUCCUCACUUUUAUUCACAAUGUUAAAAUCCCAUAGGCCAUCGUGACAUAGAAAUACUGUCAACCCAGGGGGAAAACAUUUACUGUCCAAAAAAUACUGUUGCCGGCUAAAAAAAUACUGUCGCCCCCUAUCUUAGCUUUCACGUGCAGAAUGGUAAAAAAUUAUACUGUCCCAUUCGCGCAUGCGCAUUACGUUCUUUUCUGUAUAAUAAAAUGAAUAUUACAUGUCUGACAGGGUGACGGUAAAUUUGUCAACUUUCGGAAAAAUACUGCCAACCUCGGACAUGUAAUAUUGAUAUACAUGUAAUAACACUAUUAUUCAAAUAAACUAUGGAUUUAUCAUUGUGCUUUAACAUAACAGGUUAAGACUUCAGGUUUAUAAUAUGAGGACAACACCGAUCAAAUAAAGGCCCAUUCUUGCAUGAUGUGGAUAAUUUAGCUUCAUCUUUUCUAUACUGGUAUUAUGUUUGUCUCACGCAGCCAGUAUGCAGAUGCCUGUUUUUUCCUUUGCGUGUCUUUGAAAUCUUAUAUAUGAUCUACAAGGAACAAAUUGUUUUUUAUGGACAUUGUUAGGCAUUAAAAAAUAUGUUUAAGUAUGCAAUAAUAUAAAUGUCUGCAACAUACAUGUAUUUAUAUUUUUGGGUUAAGUUGUUACAUCAAUGUAGUUUAUGCAUUUGUUUAGUCUGUAAUAAUGUGAUAAACCCAAAAUAUGUUGUCAGCUGUUAUUGUGGAUUAAAUAAAUGUUUAAAACCAA